rnacentral:pre_miRNA from 1 species
GUAUGCUUGACUCCGGAUAUGCCACCCGACUCAGCCGUUCUACCGUGAGGAGUGAUGUCGUCGUGUGGCAUACAGGGAGCCACGCAUAU